rnacentral:rRNA from 1 species
GAUGAACGCUAGCGACAGGCUUAACACAUGCAAGUCGAGGGGCAGCAUAAAAGUAGCAAUACUUUGGUGGCGACCGGCGCACGGGUGAGUAACGCGUAUGCAACCUACCUAUCAGAGGGGAAUAACCCGGCGAAAGUCGGACUAAUACCGCAUAAAACAGGGGCACCGCAUGGCGAUAUUUGUUAAAGAAAUUCGCUGAUAGAUGGGCAUGCGUUCCAUUAGGUAGUUGGUGAGGUAACGGCUCACCAAGCCGACGAUGGAUAGGGGAACUGGGAGGUUGGUCCACCACACGGGUACUGAGACACGGACCAGACUCCUACGGGAGGCAGCAGUGAGGAAUAUUGGUCAAUGGGCGGGAGCCUGAACCAGCCAAGUCGCGUGAAGGAAGAAGGAUCUAUGGUUCGUAAACUUCUUUUGCAGGGGAAUAAAGUGCGGGACGUGUCCUGUUUUGUAUGUACCCUGAGAAUAAGGAUCGGCUAACUCCGUGCCAGCAGCCGCGGUAACAC